UACAGAGGUCUCAAGCGUUGUUCGGAUUCAUUGGGCGUAAAGGGUGCGUAGGCGGCGCGGUAAGUCGGGUGUGAAAUCUCGGGGCUUAACUCCGAAACUGCAUUCGAUACUGCCGUGCUUGAGGACCGGAGAGGAGACUGGAAUUUACGGUGUAGCGGUGAAAUGCGUAGAUAUCGUAAGGAAGACCAGUGGCGAAGGCGGGUCUCUGGACAGUUCCUGACGCUGAGGCACGAAGGCCAGGGGAGCAAACGGG
rnacentral:rRNA from 1 species